rnacentral:rRNA from 1 species
UAGAGUUUGAUCCAUGGCUCAGAUUGAACGCUGGCGGCAGGCCUAACACAUGCAAGUCGAGCGGAUGACAGGAGCUUGCUCCUGAAUUCAGCGGCGGACGGGUGAGUAAUGCCUAGGAAUCUGCCUGGUAGUGGGGGACAACGUUUCGAAAGGAACGCUAAUACCGCAUACGUCCUACGGGAGAAAGCAGGGGACCUUCGGGCCUUGCGCUAUCAGAUGAGCCUAGGUCGGAUUAGCUAGUUGGUGAGGUAAUGGCUCACCAAGGCGACGAUCCGUAACUGGUCUGAGAGGAUGAUCAGUCACACUGGAACUGAGACACGGUCCAGACUCCUACGGGAGGCAGCAGUGGGGAAUAUUGGACAAUGGGCGAAAGCCUGAUCCAGCCAUGCCGCGUGUGUGAAGAAGGUCUUCGGAUUGUAAAGCACUUUAAGUUGGGAGGAAGGGCAGUAACUUAAUACGUUGCUGUUUUGACGUUACCGACAGAAUAAGCACCGGCUAAC